GCCCGGUUAUAUCAGUCGGUAGAUAGUUUGACUCUUACUACUUUAAGACAUCAAAAUGUCAUGGGUUCGAGCCCCAUACUGGGCU
rnacentral:tRNA from 1 species